rnacentral:lncRNA from 1 species
AUGAGGCGACUCUCCGCUCGGCCGCUCCUGAACAGGAAGUGGCUGAAGAGGAAAUGCCUUUGUGAUGAGAGGCAGUUUCCUUCAUCACAUUGUUCUCGUCAGGAGACGUUCAAGACCCAGCGCCAAGAAAAACAUGUCAGCGUCUGUUGGUUUGGGGAUAUUUCAUGGAGACGGACCAGAACCAGAACCAGAAUCAGAAUCAGAAUCAGAACCAGAACCAGAACCAGAACCACAAUCAAAAACAGAACCAGCAUCAGGACUAGAAUCAGAACCAGAACCAGCAUCAGGACCAGAAUCAGAACCACAAUCAAAAACAGAACCAGCAUCAGGACUAGAAUCAGAACCAGAACCAGAACCAGAACCAGCAUCAGGACUAGAAUCAGAACCAGAACCAGAAACAAAAUCAGAAACACAACCAGAACCAGAAUCAGACUCCGAACCAGCAUCAGGACCAGAAUCAGAACCAGAGCCAGAACCAGAACAAGAAUCAGAACCAGAAGCAGAACCAGAACCACAAUCAAAAACAGAACCAGCAUCAGGACUAGAAUCAGAACCAGAACCAGCAUCAGGACCAGAAUCAGAACCAGAACCAGAACCAGAAUCAGAAACACAACCAGAACCAGAACCAGAACCAGAAUCAGAGCCAGAACCAGAACCAGAACAAGAAUCAGAGCCAGAACCAGAACCAGAACAAGAAUCAGCAUCAGGACCAGAAUCAGAACCAGAACCAGAAUCAGCAUCAGCAUCAGGACCAAAACCAGAGACGAGAGGUUCUCACCCUCAACAUUCAGCUGUCAGGUCGACAAUAUCAGACAGACAGAGAGACAGACAGAGAGACAGAGAGACAGACAGACAAAGACACAGACAGUCAGAGAGACAGACAGACAGAGACAGACAGACAGAGACACAGACAGUCAGAGAGACAGUCAGAGAGACAGACAGACAGACAGAGACACAGACAGUCAGAGAGACAGACAGACAGACAGAGACACAGACAGUCAGAGAGACAGACAGACAGGCAGACAGAGAGACAGACAGAGAGACAGACAGACAAAGACACAGACAGUCAGAGAGACAGACAGACAGAGACAGACAGACAGAGACACAGACAGUCAGAGAGACAGUCAGAGAGACAGACAGACAGACAGACAGAGACACGGACAGAGACACAGACAGUCAGAGAGACAGACAGACAGACAGACAGAGACACAGACAGUCAGAGAGACAGAGACACAGACAGUCAGAGAGACAGACAGACAGACAGAGACACAGACAGACACAGACAGACAGAGACACAGACAGUCAGAGAGACAGAGACACAGACAGUCAGAGAGACAGACAGACAGACAGAGACACAGACAGACACACAGACAGACAGAGACACAGACAGUCAGAGAGACAGAGACACAGACAGUCAGAGAGACAGACAGACAGCAGGACAGGGUUGAGGUAAUAAAAUGCAAACUAGCUCCAGUGAGUCCUGCUUCCUGUUACACACUCGACAACAAACACUGA